rnacentral:rRNA from 1 species
AACGAACGCUGGCGGCAUGCCUAACACAUGCAAGUCGAACGAGACCUUCGGGUCUAGUGGCGCACGGGUGCGUAACGCGUGGGAACCUGCCCUUAGGUUCGGAAUAACUCCCCGAAAGGGGUGCUAAUACCGGAUAAUGUCUUCGGACCAAAGAUUUAUCGCCUUUGGAUGGGCCCGCGUUGGAUUAGCUAGUUGGUAGGGUAAAAGCCUACCAAGGCGACGAUCCAUAGCUGGUCUGAGAGGAUGAUCAGCCACACUGGGACUGAGACACGGCCCAGACUCCUACGGGGGGCGGGAGGGGGGAAUAUUGGACAUGGGGGGAAAGCCUGACCCGGCAAGGCCGGGUGAGUGAUGAAGGCCUUGGGGUUGAAAAGCUCUUUUCCCCGGGAUGAUAAUGAAAGUACCGGGAGAAAAAGCCCCGGCUAACUCCGU